rnacentral:rRNA from 1 species
AUUGAACGCUGGCGGAAUGCUUUACACAUGCAAGUCGAGCGGCAGCGCGGGGGCAACUCUGGCGGCGAGCGGCGAACGGGUGAGUAACACAUCGGAACGUGCCCAGUUGUGGGGGAUAGCCCGGCGAAAGCCGGAUUAAUACCGCAUACGACCUGAGGGUGAAAGGGGGGGAUCGCAAGACCUCUCGCAGUUGGAGCGGCCGAUGGCGGAUUAGCUAGUUGGUGAGGUAAAGGCUCACCAAGGCGACGAUCCGUAGCUGGGCUGAGUGGACGGCCCGCCACACUGGAACUGGGACACGGUCCAGACUCCUCCGGGAGGCAGCAGUAGGGAAUAUUGGACAAUGGGCGCAAGCCUGAUCCAGCCAUGCCGCGUGAGUGAAGAAGGCCCUCGGGUUGUAAAGCUCUUUUGUUGGGGAAGAAAAGCCUUGGGUUAAUACCCUGAGGUUCUGACGGUACCCAAAGAAUAAGCACCGGCUAACUUCGUGCCAGCAGCCGCAGUAA